CCACGGAGGAUAUAUUAUCUGGCUUAGGGAGACCGCUGGAUUAAGGCGACCUUUUCUGGUCUCCCUUAUAUUUUGACCUCAUGAGUAUUGCAAAUGACGUGUUUUAGGUAAAUAAACAGUCUUUCAUUAAAUAAAAGUUAUCUUUGUGUCUGUGAUUUAACAUUUAAAAGUUGUCUAAUUUCUAUCAUCUUACCUAAAAAAGAAAAGAAUGUGUUACCUGUGUAUAAUUUCAAAGGAUAUUUUUUCAGCAUUAUGCAGACCACGGAAAACAUGCAAUAAAAUGAAAAAUCUUGCAUAUAAUUUUUUUUCACCGUUUGAUGUGUUCAAAUGAGUGUUUUUUCAACUUAUUUUUCCAUUUUUUAUGUUAAAAAACUUAAGAGGAAAAAUAAUGAAAAUUUAUGCACCAAGUUCUGAAUUCUUAGCAAGUGCUUUCCGUCAUUUGUUCCGAAUACCAUCGGAAUGCCUCUUCAGUUUUCAGAGAAUGACCUUUGAACACCGUGAAUGUUGUGAAAGAGUUGUAUUGCGUGACAGAUAACCAGAAUGUUGGAUUGCAGGGAAGAACGAAGAGCCUCGAAACAACUUUGAGGGUCUAUGAUAGAAUUUUGUGGACCCAAGUGGAAAGAGAGGAAAUCUUAGCUCCAGGGUCAACAUGUCUUUAUUCCAAGAAAGAGUGGCCUGGUUGAUUCAAUUAGGAAAGAACAGGAAAAAUCAGUGCUAAUGCUCAUUGGUCAUUGGACAAAGGGGUGUAUGCCAGAAUGUUUUGAAGAACAGUCUGAAUCUAACAUGGAAAAAAUGAGGAAAAACAGCCUUCCUGCUUACAAAUCUAUAUUCUGACAAAGGGGGUGUAUGCCAGAUUCUUUCGAAGAACAGUCUGAAUUUAACAUGGAAAAAAUGAGGAAAAACAGCCUUCCUGCUAAUCUAUAUUCUGACAAAGGGUAAUUUUGUUUUUAAUUCAAUUAAAAGUACACUUAUAAUUAUGCUUGCAUCCCUUUCAAAAAAGGGAAGACAUAUUGCU